UUCUUGAAAAUUAAUGGAGUUGGCGGUAUUUUAGUUUAUUCAGAGGAACCUGUCCUAUAAUCGAUGAUACACGAUUUAAAUUACUUGUUUUGUUGGUUUGCAUAUCGCCGUAGUUUGAAUAUUUUGAAAGAAUUGAUAAUAUUCAAAAUUUUACUGAUAAAAUAAAUCAGGUCAAGAUGUAGCUUAUAAAUAAGAAGAGAUGGGUUACAUUUUUAUUUAAAAUUUAGAUUGGAUUAAUUAUCUUGAAAGGAAUUUUGAAAGUGGAUUUGAGAGUAAUUUUAGAUUUAUUUUUAGGAUGAUUUUGGCUCUAAAAUAUGUACAUAUCGCCCGUCGCUUUCACUUUAAAGUGGAAUAAGUCGUAACAAAGUAGGUGUACUGGAAAGUGUAUCUGGAAAGACAAAUUAGAGCUUAAAGAGUUUUUUAUUUACAUUAAAAAGGUUGUUGCUCAUACCAACAUAAUUUGAGGACAAAUAAUUAUUUAAUUUAAUAUUUUAUAAAUAGUUGUUUUAUUGGAAGGUGAUUAAUAUUUUAUUAAUUUUAUUGAAAAAAUUUUUAUUAUAAUAGAUAAAUAGUAUCGAGAUAGAAUUUUUUUUAUUCUAGUAAAAGAAGAAUUUGGGUUUUGUACCUUGUGUAUCAGGGUUGAUCAAAAAUAGCUUUGUGUAAAGAUUUCCCGAAUUUAGAAGAGUUAUAUACAUAUAUUUUUUACUGUUGAAUAAUUAAGAUUAAUAUAUAUAUUGAAGUGAAAUGCUAUUCGAUUUUAAAUUUAUCUGGUUUUUUAAGAAAUAGGUUUAAUCUACUUUUUUAAAAUUAUAAAAUUUAUUUUUUAAUUUUAUGAUUUAUGAAGGAAAAAUUAUAUGGGACGAGCUUUAUAAUUGAUUAUAUACAUAUUAUUAUUAUUUUGUUAAUAUUUAGGAUUAGAAGUUUCCACUAUUGUUAGGGUGUUAUAACUAAUUAACUAUUUAAUAAAAUUUUAAUUAUUAUUAUAUUUUUUAUUAAAAUAUAGGUUUAAAUAAUAAAUAUUUAGUAAUAAUGAUUGAAUUAGUAUAAUUUUAACUUAAUGUUUUUUGUUUUUAUAAGUUUUAAGGUUUUUUAAAGGAACUUGGCAAAUAUAUUUUUCACCUGUUUAUUAAAAACAUGUCUUUUUGAUUAUAAUCUAAAGUCUGACCUGCCCAAUGAUAAUUUUAAAUGGCUGCGGUAUAUUGACCGUACAAAGGUAGCAUAAUCACUAGUUUUUUAAUUGAAAGCUUGAAUGAAAGGUCUGAUGGAAAAAGAGCUGUCUCUGUAAAAAUUAAUUAGAAGUUUAUAUUUAAGUAAAAAAGCUUAAAUAUUUAUAGAAGACGAGAAGACCCUAUAGAGCUUUAUUGUUUUUUUUUAUUUUGGGAAAUAAGAAUUUAA
rnacentral:rRNA from 1 species